rnacentral:rRNA from 1 species
UACGAAGGGGACUAGCGUUGUCCGGAAUUACUGGGCGUAAAGAGCUCGUAGGUGGUUUGUCGCGUUGUUCGUGAAAACUCACAACUCAAUUGUGGGCGUGCGGGCGAUACGGGCAGACUGGAGUACUGCAGGGGAGACUGGAAUUCCUGGUGUAGCGGUGGAAUGCGCAGAUAUCAGGAGGAACACCGGUGGCGAAGGCGGGUCUCUGGGCAGUAACUGACGCUGAGGAGCGAAAGCGUGGGGAGCGAACAGG